CUCCUACGGUUGACCUCGGAUCAGGUAGGGA
rnacentral:rRNA from 1 species